GUGGGGAAUUUUGGACAAUGGGCGAAAGCCUGAUCCAGCCAUGCCGCGUGCAGUAUGAAGGCCUUCGGGUUGUAAACUGCUUUUGUACGGAACGAAAAGACUCCUUCUAAUAAAGGGGGUCCAUGACGGUACCGUAAGAAUAAGCACCGGCUAACUACGUGCCAGCAGCCGCGGUAAUACGUAGGGUGCAAGCGUUAAUCGGAAUUACUGGGCGUAAAGCGUGCGCAGGCGGUUAUAUAAGACAGAUGUGAAAUCCCCGGGCUCAACCUGGGAACUGCAUUUGUGACUGUAUAGCUAGAGUACGGUAGAGGGGGAUGGAAUUCCGCGUGUAGCAGUGAAAUGCGUAGAUAUGCGGAGGAACACCGAUGGCGAAGGCAAUCCCCUGGACCUGUACUGACGCUCAUGCACGAAAGCGUGGGGAGCAAACAGGAUUAGAUACCCUGGUAGUCC
rnacentral:rRNA from 1 species